rnacentral:rRNA from 1 species
UACGUAGGGUGCAAGCGUUAAUCGGAAUUACUGGGCGUAAAGCGUGCGCAGGCGGUUGUGCAAGACAGAUGUGAAAUCCCCGGGCUUAACCUGGGAAUUGCAUCUGUGACUGCACGGCUAGAAUCUGGCAGAGGGGGGUAGAAUUCCACGUGUAGCAGUGAAAUGCGUAGAGAUGUGGAGGAAUACCGAUGGCGAAGGCAGCCCCCUGGGCUAAGAUUGACGCUCAUGCACGAAAGCGUGGGGAGCAAACAGG